rnacentral:misc_RNA from 1 species
UUUCCGUAGGUGAACCUGCGGAAGGAUCAUUGUCGAAACCUGCCCAGCAGAACGACCGCGAACUUGUAUAAACAACUGGGGGCGGGGGGCGUUCUCGCCCCGUGCCCCCGAACGGCGGGGAGACACUCGUGCCUUCUUGCCGAACAACGAACCCCGGCGCGGUCUGCGCCAAGGAACUUCAACUAAAGAGUGCCUCCGGUCGCCUCGGAAACGGCGUGCGUGCCGGGGGCGAAUCUUGUGCAAAACCAUAACGACUCUCGGCAACGGAUAUCUCGGCUCUC